CAGAGAGGCCCCUCUUCCUCCCUCAAUUCCAGGGUGUGCCUGAGAGAGAGCUUCUGUGCUUCGCUCCAAAAAAAAGGAGUCUUGUGGCCAUUUUGAAAUGUUAGAGUCCUAGGGAAAGAAAAAUCAUGGAAUUUCCAUAUUCAUGGAAAAACAGGACCUUCUCAGAUGACUAAAAGAAAUCAAAAUUCCAUUCACAAAAGAAAAAGGUUAUGUGAAAUGUCUCUUUAGGAUAAAUUCCCAGAAAUGGAAUUGCUCUGGAUGCCCUGCACUGCUGAUUUGAUAUAGAUUGCCAAAUGGCCUGAAGAGUUACUUUUCAAAUUUUAGGUCCCAGAUGUCCAGUUAUGGUGGAGCCCUCCCUACCUUUAAGCUCAUUGUGAGCUCCCCAGAUUCUGCAAGAAAGGCCAGGGUAGAGAAAAUAUACGGCGAAAAACACAACUAACCUGUGCCUGGUUCUGGAAGGUUCUUCAUGCACAUUAUCUUGUGCAAGCCACAGAUCAUUCUUAAGAAGCUGGAAUCAUCUGAUCUACUUUAUAUAUGAAGACUCGGAAGCUCAGAAGCUGGAUAAAUUCCUCAAAGAGAGAAGUUUGCUAUUGAAACUUGACUUUAUGGGGCCACAAAAUGCCCUGGGCACUUGGAGGAUGAGUAGUAAAAGUAGGGUGAAGAGGCCAA